rnacentral:rRNA from 1 species
UACGUCGGGUGCAAGCGUUGUCCGGAAUUAUUGGGCGUAAAGAGCUCGUAGGCGGUCUGUCACGUCGGCUGUGAAAUCCCGAGGCUCAACCUCGGGUCUGCAGUCGAUACGGGCAAACUAGAGUAUUGCAGGGGAGACUGGAAUUCCUGGUGUAGCGGUGAAAUGCGCAGAUAUCAGGAGGAACACCGAUGGCGAAGGCAGGUCUCUGGGCCACUACUGACGCUGAGAAGCGAAAGCAUGGGGAGCGAACAGG